GGUUCUCCUGCCUCAGACUCCCAAGUAGCUGGGACCCAGAUGUGUGCCACCACACCUGGCUAAUUAUUAUUAUUAUUAUUGUUGUAGAGACAGGGUCUCACCAUCUUGCCCAGACUGGUCUUGGACUCUUGGCCUCAGGCGAUCCUCCUACCUUGGCCUCCCAAAGUGCUGGAAUUACAGGAGACAUGUAUAUGAGGAGAACACUAGGUGAACAUGAAGACUGUCAUCUACAAGCCAAGAGAUGCCAGGAGCAGGUCCUUCAGAGCCCUCAGAAGGAACCAACUCUGCUGGCACCUUGAUUUUGGACUUCCAGCCUCCAGAACUGUGAGACCAUACAUUUCUGUUGUUUAAGUCACCCAGUCUGUGACACUUUGUUAGGCAGAUGUUUAGGGGCGAAAACAUCUUCUGUGUGGACUAGUCGUUUGGCAAGAUAAAGCCCCCCAAUACUAUUUUGGAAACCCUGAAUGCAUCUUUUAUCCUUUUUGUAGAUAGAGAAUAAUUAAAAUGUAGGGAAUAGGAUUCUGUUGUUUCAAAAAUUUUGGACAAAUUGAAAAUAACAGUAGUUCAAGAAUUUAGGAUCAACAGUGUAAGCAUUUUAAAUUCAUGGCAAGUAAGACUUGGCGCAUAGCAUAACUAAGUUGUCUUCUGUGCCUCUCAGACUAAUAU
rnacentral:lncRNA from 1 species